rnacentral:rRNA from 1 species
UACGAAGGGGGCUAGCGUGGCUCGGAAUCACUGGGCCUAAAGGGCUCGUAGGCGGCUUUUCAAGUCAGGGGUGAAAUCCGGCAGCUCAACUGUCGAAGUGCCCUUGAUACUGAUGAGCUCGAGGGAGGUAGGGGUGUGUGGAACUUCCGGUGGAGCGGUGAAAUGCGUUGAUAUCGGAAGGAACGCCGGUGGCGAAAGCGACGCACUGGACCUCUUCUGACGCUGAGGCGCGAAAGCUAGGGGAGCAAACGGG